rnacentral:rRNA from 1 species
UACGUAGGGUGCAAGCGUUAAUCGGAAUUACUGGGCGUAAAGCGUGCGCAGGCGGUUCGUUGUGUCGGUGGUGAAAUCCCCGGGCUUAACCUGGGAAUGGCCAUGGAAACGGGCGAACUGGAGUGCGGCAGAGGGGGGUGGAAUUCCGCGUGUAGCAGUGAAAUGCGUAGAGAUGCGGAGGAACACCGAUGGCGAAGGCAGCCCCCUGGGCUAGCACUGACGCUCAGGCACGAAAGCGUGGGGAGCAAACAGG